CUGGAACAUUCAAGGUUUUUGAAGCUGGCCUCUAGGGGCAUGUGCUCGCCUUGUUUCAAUCCACUUACACCUGUGCACACUUUGUAGUUCUGGGAUGGGGUUUCUAACCUCGGAUCAGAUCUACGUCCUUUACACACACACUUUUGUAUGUUAAGAAUGUACUAUAUGCGUUAUAACGCAAUUAAUAA
rnacentral:misc_RNA from 1 species